UUAACCACUGUGCUGACCGUACCGUAAACCGACACAGGUGGGCGGGGAGAAUAUCCCAAGGCGCUUGAGAGAACCCUGCUUAAGGAACUCGCAAAAUUACACCGUAACUUCGGGAGAAGGUGUGCCGGUCUUACGUGAAGAGGCUUGCCCUCGGAGCGGAAACCGGUUGCAGAGAAACGGGGGUAGCGACUGUUUACCAAAAACACAGGGCUCUGCUAAGUCGCAAGACGACGUAUAGGGUCUGAUGCCUGCCCGGUGCCGGAAGGUUAAGGGGAGUUGUUAGCGCAAGCGACGCAACGAACCGAAGCCCCGGUAAACGGCGGCCGUAACGAUAACGGUCCUAAGGUAGCAAAAUUCCUUGUCGGGUAAGUUCCGACCUGCACGAGGGCAUAACGACUUCCCCACUGUCUCGAGCAGGGACUCAGCGAAGUAGCACUGGGGGUGAAGAUACCCUCUACGCGUGGUAGGACGGAAAGACCCCAUGAACCUUUACUCUAACUUGACACUGAGUUUCGGAUCAGAUUGCGUAGGAUAGGUGGGAGGCUAUGAGGCCGGUACUCCGGUAUCGGUGGAGCCAACGUUGAAAUACCACCCUGUUUGAUCUGGAAUUCUAACCUUCGCCCGUGAUCCGGGCGGGGGACAAUGUCUGGUGGGGAGUUUGACUGGGGCGGUCGCCUCCAAAAGAGUAACGGAGGCGCGCGAAGGUUCCCUCAGGCUGAUUGGAAACCAGCCUUCGAGUGUAAUGGCAUAAGGGAGCUUGACUGCGAGGCCGACGAGCCGAGCAGGUGCGAAAGCAGGUCAUAGUGAUCCGGUGGUUCCAUAUGGACGGGCCAUCGCUCAACGGAUAAAGGUACUCUGGGGAUAACAGGCUUAUCGCUUCCAAGAGUUCACAUCGACGAAGCGGUUUGGCACCUCGAUGUCGGCUCAUCGCAUCCUGGGGCUGAAGUCGGUCCCAAGGGUUUGGCUGUUCGCCAAUUAAAGCGGUACGCGAGCUGGGUUCAAAACGUCGUGAGACAGUUUGGUCCCUAUCCACCAUGCGCGAAGGAAACUUGAGAGGAUCUGUCCUUAGUACGAGAGGACCGGGAUGGACCGACCGCUAGUGUUCCGGUUGUGGCGCCAGCCGCAUCGCCGGGUAGCUACGUCGGGACGGGAUAACCGCUGGAAGCAUCUAAGCGGGAAGCCCACCUCAAGAUCAUGUUUCCCGGGCCGUAAGGCCCCUGAAGACCCCACGAAGACUACGUGGUUGAUAGGCCGGGUGUGGAAGGCGAGCAAUCGCUGGAGCUUACCGGUACUAAUCGGUCGUGAGGCUUGGCCAC
rnacentral:rRNA from 1 species